rnacentral:tRNA from 1 species
GCCUUCGUGGUGUAGUGGUCAGCACGCUCGACGCGUAUCCGAGAGGUCCGUGGUUCGAGUCCCGGCGCGGACA